CUACAAAUGGCAGAAACUAAUAUUUUUUUUUGAAACUGGUAACUUAUGGCAGAAACUAAUAUAGCGAUUGUUCUUAAAACUACAAGAGCAGGAGAUUAAUAUUGAGAGUAAGGACUAUCAUGCAAGUGCAGUAUCAGAUUACCCUUAUGCAGCCUCAGUGCUAGUCUCCUUUUCCUCUACUUCAUUUGCAGCCCCGUUUGCCUCCGCAGCACCUUGCGCAUCUUCAGUAGGAGGCUGAACCUGUUCAUCUUCUGGCAAUGGCUCCUCAACAUAGUCAUUCUCAAACGCAUCUGGAGGCACCUCAUAAAUUCUAACUUGUGGCUUGGUUGGGUCCUUAACAAGCACAUAUUUCCCUUCAUUCAACUUCAUACAGAGGUCCACAAUACUUUUCACAAUACCCCACAUGUUUGAUGUGUUCAAAUUAAUUUGUGUAGCAAAGUCUUUAGGCUUAUAUCCUACAACAGCUAAUAUCACAUGGUUAAAAUGAUCCCUGGGAUGAACUCUUGAUACAUAACCCAACUUCAUCAUAUCAGCAUUAGCUAACAGUGCUUGUGCAGUCCAUUUAGCAAGUUUAUUAGCAUUGUUCUUCAACUCAGUAGCUAACACAGCACCCCUUUGUGUCUCAAGCUUCUGCCUCCAAUC
rnacentral:misc_RNA from 1 species